rnacentral:rRNA from 1 species
AUGGAGGGCGCCGAGUUCGUCCAUGCCGUGGCGCCCGGCGUCACCGUGGCCGAUGUCACCGCGCCGCUGUAUACCCCGAUGCUGGUCCGGUCCUUCUUCCCGCUGGAUGGGCUGCAUGGCGUCGACGCUGCCGCGGGCUCGCACCCGCUCCUAGCCGUGCAGGUCACCGAGCUGGCCGACGGUGUCUUCGUCGGCAUGUCGCUCAACCACGCUGUCGCCGACGGUUCGGCCUUGUGGCACCUCUUCAACACCUGGUCGGAGAUCAGCCGUCAGAGUGACGGCGCCGACAUCUCCUCUCCUUUGCCGGUGCACCGGAGGUGGUUCCUCGACGGCUGCCCUGUUCCGAUCCCUCUGCCCUUCGGCAAGCUGGAGGACAUCCCGGUCAGCCGGCGUACUGCAGAUGAGCAUCCAUCAUCUGUGAAGGUGGAAUGCUUCCUCAAUUUCUCGGCCGAGAUGGUAAAGAAGCUCAAAGCAAAGGCAAACGCCGAGAUGUCCGGCACCAGCAAUGGCACCACCACCAUCUCGUCGUUGCAGGCCCUGCUCGCGCACCUAUGGUGGAUCGCGGUGACCCGAGCCAGGAGGCUGGCACCGGACCACAGGACGACGUACGUCAUCCUCGUCGGAUGUCGGGGCCGCGUGGAUGGCCUGCCGGCGGCGUACGCCGGCAACGCCGUUGCACGCGCCGAGGCGGUGUCGACCGCCGGCGAGAUCCUACAAAGGGGGCUGGGCUGGACCGGGUCACUGCUGAACAGAGCGGUGGCGUCGUUCGACGUGGCAACUCAGAGGGACAGACAUGCAUCCUGGCCGCAAGAGCAUUACUUCUUGCGUGCGCGCCCAACGGCCACGGCAAAGAUGGUGACGGGUGGCUCGCCGCGGUUCGACGUGUACGGGAACGACUUCGGGUGGGGCCGGCCGGUGGGCGUGCGGAGUGGCCGUGCGAACAAGAUGGGCGGGACGGCGACGGUGUUCGAGGGUAGAGACGGCGGAGGAAGCAUGGCUCUCGGGGUGUGGCUCUCGCCGGAGGUGCUCGCGAGGCUCGUCGCCGACGAGGAGUUCAUGAGCGCGGUAAGCACGGUCACGGCGUGA